rnacentral:rRNA from 1 species
GACGAACGCUGGCGGCGUGCCUAACACAUGCAAGUCGAACGGAAAGGCCCUGCUUGCAGGCUACUCGAGUUGCCAACGGGCGAGUAACACAUGGGUGAAUUGCCCUCCACUUCGGGUUAAGCUUGGUCAACUGGGUCUAAUACCUGAUAGGACCUCACUUGAACGGGUGUGGUGGAAAGUUUUUUCGGGGUAGGAUGAGCCCGCGACGUAUCAGCGAGUUGGUGGGGUAAUGGCUUACCAGGGCGGCGAUGCGUAGCCGACCUGAGAGGGUGUACGGCCACACUGGGAGUGUGACACGGUCCAGACUCUGACGGGAGGCACCGGUAGCGAAGCGUGGGCGAUGGGGGGAAUCCUGAACAAGCGACGCCGGGUUGGUGAAGAAGGGCCUCGGGUCGGAAAAAGCUCUUAGGGUUGAAGAAUAAUUGCGUGAGGAACGAAGCAUGUUGUGACGGUACCUAAAUAAGAAGCACCGGCUAACUACGUG